GUUCAUAUUGGGUGUAUGGGCUUUCAUGGGAAAAAAUGACCUAUCAGAAUUUUUUACUGCAAGGAUUGUACCCAUCAGAAUUUUAAAUACAAUACCAGAUAAUGCAUUAUACAUAACUGUCUACAUUCAAAAGCACCCCUAAGAUCUGACAUAGGCAUUUUUGUAACCCCUAAGAUGUAAUUAUUUUAAAUUAUUUACUGCUGCAAGACCCUUAGAAGUUUUUUGCAUAUAAGUGUACGUAUCAGAUGAAAAACCCCAAAUUUUCACCCCUAAGAUGUAUAAAUUUUACACCCCUCAGAAAGGACCAUCCAACCCCCUUUAGCAGAUAUUAACUGGAAUGGCCCAUUACAGGUCCCUAUCUUUACAUACAUGUGGUGGGCAAAACAUAUUAGCAGGCUCAGCCACCAACGCUACCCCUAAUCAAGUAUUGCAAUCAAAUAUUGUGACAAGGUUUAUAAAAUAGCAAUGUAACCUAUAUUGGAAAUGUUGAAAAUUUUGGGCACGUCUUCAGUAAGCUCAUAACACUUAAGAGUGUCACAAUUAAUCUGGA
rnacentral:lncRNA from 1 species